rnacentral:rRNA from 2 species
UGGGGAAUAUUGCACAAUGGGCGCAAGCCUGAUGCAGCGACGCCGCGUGAGGGAUGGAGGCCUUCGGGUUGUAAACCUCUUUUAUCGAGGAGCAAGCGAGAGUGAGUUUACCCGUUGAAUAAGCACCGGCUAACUACGUGCCAGCAGCCGCGGUAAUACGUAGGGUGCAAGCGUUAUCCGGAAUUAUUGGGCGUAAAGGGCUCGUAGGCGGUUCGUCGCGUCCGGUGUGAAAGUCCAUCGCUUAACGGUGGAUCCGCGCCGGGUACGGGCGGGCUUGAGUGCGGUAGGGGAGACUGGAAUUCCCGGUGUAACGGUGGAAUGUGUAGAUAUCGGGAAGAACACCAAUGGCGAAGGCAGGUCUCUGGGCCGUUACUGACGCUGAGGAGCGAAAGCGUGGGGAGCGAACAGGAUUAGAUACCCUGGUAGUCCACGCCGUAAACGGUGGAUGCUGGAUGUGGGGCCCGUUCCACGGGUUCCGUGUCGGAGCUAACGCGUUAAGCAUCCCGCCUGGGGAGUACGGCCGCAAGGCUAAAACUCAAAGAAAUUGACGGGGGCCCGCACAAGCGGCGGAGCAUGCGGAUUAAUUCGAUGCAACGCGAAGAACCUUACCUGGGCUUGACAUGUUCCCGACGGUCGUAGAGAUACGGCUUCCCUUCGGGGCGGGUUCACAGGUGGUGCAUGGUCGUCGUCAGCUCGUGUCGUGAGAUGUUGGGUUAAGUCCCGCAACGAGCGCAACCCUCGCCCCGUGUUGCCAGCGGAUUAUGCCGGGAACUCACGGGGGACCGCCGGGGUUAACUCGGAGGAAGGUGGGGAUGACGUCAGAUCAUCAUGCCCCUUACGUCCAGGGCUUCACGCAUGCUACAAUGGCCGGUACAACGGGAUGCGACGCGGCGACGCGGAGCGGAUCCCUGAAAACCGGUCUCAGUUCGGAUCGCAGUCUGCAACUCGACUGCGUGAAGGCGGAGUCGCUAGUAAUCGCGAAUCAGCAACGUCGCGGUGAAUGCGUUCCC